rnacentral:rRNA from 1 species
AGUUGUUGCAGUUAAAAAGCUCGUAGUUGGAUGUAUGACAAGACCGGGCGGUCUGUCGCAAGACAGCACUGAGCGUGUCGCGUCACGAUGCUGGGGAACUGCUCAAAAGGCAGGGAACCAGGGAUUACUUUGAAGAAAUUAGAGUGUUUAAAGCAGGCGAUUGCUUGAAUACAUUAGCAUGGAAUAAUGAGAUAGGACUGUGGUCUUAUUUUGUUGGUUUGAGGGCCGUAGUAAUGAUUAAUAGGGAUAGUUGGGGGCAUUUGUAUUCAGUAGUCAGAGGUGAAAUUCUUGGAUUUACUGAAGACAAACUAAUGCGAAAGCAUUUGCCAAGGAUGUUUUCAUUAAUCAAGAACGAAAGUUAGGGGAUCGAAGACGAUUAGAUACCGUCGUAGUCUUAACCAUAAACUAUGCCGACUAGGGAUCGGCAGAUGUCACUGAGACGCUGUCGGCACCUUUCGAGAAAUCAAAGUUUUUGGGUUCUGGGGGGAGUAUGGUCGCAAGGCUGAAACUUAAAGGAAUUGACGGAAGGGCACCACCAGGAGUGGAGCCUGCGGCUUAAUUUGACUCAACACGGGAAAACUCACCAGGUCCGGACAUGGUAAGGAUUGACAGAUUGAGAGCUCUUUCAUGAU